GAUGAACGCUGACAGAAUGCUUAACACAUGCAAGUCAACUUGAACUUCGGUUUGGGUGGCGGACGGGUGAGUAACGCGUAAAGAACUUGCCUCACAGCUAGGGACAACAUUUGGAAACGAAUGCUAAUACCUGAUAUUAUGAUUAUAUGGCAUCGUAUUAUUAUGAAAGCUAUAUGCGCUGUGAGAGAGCUUUGCGUCCCAUUAGCUAGUUGGAGAGGUAACAGCUCACCAAGGCGAUGAUGGGUAGCCGGCCUGAGAGGGUGAUCGGCCACAAGGGGACUGAGACACGGCCCUUACUCCUUCGGGAGGCAGCAGUGGGGAAUAUUGGACAAUGGACCGAGAGUCUGAUCCAGCAAUUCUGUGUGCACGAUGAAGUUUUUCGGAAUGUAAAGUGCUUUCAGUUGGGAAGAAAAAAAUGACGGUACCAACAGAAGAAGAGACGGCUAAAUACGUG
rnacentral:rRNA from 1 species